UUUGCAAAGGUCCAGUGUGCUACAGUUCGUGAACUGAUUGGAGUUGAUGUUUUCCGAUGAUGCGCAAUUGGAGAUUUAUGAAUAUUUCAUAUUUGGAUUUAUACAUUGUGGUUUUCUACCCCUCGAGAUAGUCGGUUUUCAAAAUAGAGUUUUCGAGUGGGAAACAGUUUUAAAAGGUUUUCUAAUGGUUUUAUGGCUGAUUAUAUAGAGUUUGAAAACAAAGCUUCCGGGUGGGGAGCGCUGUUAAAUAGUAUGACUGUUGUACUGUGAA
rnacentral:lncRNA from 1 species